CGUAAAGAGCUCGUAGGCGGUUUGUCGCGUCUGCUGUGAAAACCCGAGGCUCAACCUCGGGCCUGCAGUGGGUACGGGCAGACUAGAGUGCGGUAGGGGAGAUUGGAAUUCCUGGUGUAGCGGUGGAAUGCGCAGAUAUCAGGAGGAACACCAAUGGCGAAGGCAGAUCUCUGGGCCGUAACUGACGCUGAGGAGCGAAAGCAUGGGGAGCGAACAGGAUUAGAUACCCUGGUAGUCCAUGCCGUAAACGUUGGGAACUAGAUGUGGGGACCAUUCCACGGUCUCCGUGUCGCAGCUAACGCAUUAAGUUCCCCGCCUGGGGAGUACGGCCGCAAGGCUAAAACUCAAAGGAAUUGACGGGGGCCCGCACAAGCGGCGGAGCAUGCGGAUUAAUUCGAUGCAACGCGAAGAACCUUACCAAGGCUUGACAUAUAGAGGAAACGUCUGGAAACAGUCGCCCCGCAAGGUCUCUAUACAGGUGGUGCAUGGUUGUCGUCAGCUCGUGUCGUGAGAUGUUGGGUUAAGUCCCGCAACGAGCGCAACCCUCGUCCUAUGUUGCCAGCACGUAAUGGUGGGAACUCAUGGGAUACUGCCGGGGUCAACUCGGAGGAAGGUGGGGAUGACGUCAAAUCAUCAUGCCCCUUAUGUCUUGGGCUUCACGCAUGCUACAAUGGCCGGUACAAAGGGCUGCAAUACCGCAAGGUGGAGCGAAUCCCAAAAAGCCGGUCUCAGUUCGGAUUGAGGUCUGCAACUCGACCUCAUGAAGUCGGAGUCGCU
rnacentral:rRNA from 1 species